UAUUACCUUAAAAUUAGCGAUAGGUAUUUCGGUUAUUUUGGGGCAAAGCAGGCAAAACACCUGGUCCUGCAAUUGUCUUAUGUUUGGCAUUUCCACAUGAUGUGUUUUUAUGUUGCAAAUAUUUAUUAGAGUGAACAUAUCUGUUAGUCAGGAUCGUUGCAAUAUAAUAUUACAUUACAGUGGUCUCUUCAGUGUCCUCCACUAUGACCAGAGUGGUCAAACCUGGGGAGACUGUCUGUAUGUCCUGUAACGUACCUAUGAAGACCUCGACAAUGUGGUUUGGACAAGAGUGCAACAAGACGCCCUUUGUCAUCAUAUCGGCCAAACAAUAUGACGUUAACGAAAAGAAAGUUCUAAAUAAAUUCCUCCAUGGCAACAACAGUGCAUUCAGCACAAUGUUAGAGGACAAUGGCUCCAUCAGUCUGACCAUCACAAAGAUGAAUGAGUCUUUGCUAGGAUUCUACUAUUGUACUUCAGGAAUCGACAAAGAACUUACAGUUGGAUCCGGUUACAUUCUUGAAUAUGAGAAGGGCAGUGUUUCACCUAAAAGAGA
ensembl:lncRNA